rnacentral:lncRNA from 1 species
UGGCAAAUGCCUCCUUUUAUAGGCUAAGAUUCAGAACUAUUGAUUGGUGGACUAAGAAAAUAGUUGGUGGCCAACCAUUGAUUUGGUGGCUGGUUUUUGACAUUAUUGGCUGCUGGUUCUUGAAAUUGUUGGCAGAUUUUUGAUAUUGUUGGCUGGCCAAAACGUCAUUGCUAACAUCAGAAUUUGAGCCCUUUGUUCCAUGAAAGCUGUGGGCAAUUGUCUCAGCUUUCCAACAAAAAAAACCAGAGCUCAUUUGGACUUCUAGAACUCAAGAUAUGAGCUGAAAACCGAACAGUGUUUGAGCUGCAGGACAGGUUCCGACUUCUCCGUUGUUGCUAAUAUUUGAACUUG